rnacentral:misc_RNA from 1 species
GAGGAAGAGGGAGAGGUUUCCGUUAAAGUUUUGUGUGCAGGUAAAGAGAUGGAAAACAUGGGAGAUUCAUGUGGAGAAAUAGAUGAUAGGAGAGAGAGGCAUCACUGAAAUGAGUUCAUCUGCUGAAGAAGUUUUGAUAUUGAGUUUAUCUAUGUUGAAGAGUUUGCAGAUUCAUGGUGUAAAAUGCUAACGAUUGAAGUCUAGAGAUUGUAAAAGA